UCAGAUUAUCAUGAUCAUCAGAUUGCGGUGAAAAGCUAUCCGUGUAAAGGUAUGGAGAUCCGAUCUCUGGAUUUGUGAUUUUAUGUAAAUCUAAUUUUUAUUUUCAGCAUCUUAAAAGCAUGUGAUCGAUCUUGUUGCAUAUAGAUUAGAUUUACUUAAUAAAUGUUAGAUAGUUAAAGUGUUUAAUCUAUAUCAGAUUUUAUUUCACAGCAUUUAUGUUUUUAAAAGUUAAAAAUCUAUACAUUCUGAUUUCUGCAUAUAUGAUCCCGAUGUGUGACAUCCUUCAACUACUGCAUCCUUUAUUACAC
rnacentral:lncRNA from 1 species